rnacentral:rRNA from 1 species
AUUGAACGCUGGCGGCAGGCCUAACACAUGCAAGUCGAACGGUAACAGGAAGCAGCUUGCUGCUUUGCUGACGAGUGGCGGACGGGUGAGUAAUGUCUGGGAAACUGCCCGAUGGAGGGGGAUAACUACUGGAAACGGUAGCUAAUACCGCAUAACGUCGCAAGACCAAAGAGGGGGACCUUAGGGCCUCUUGCCAUCGGAUGUGCCCAGAUGGGAUUAGCUAGUAGGUGGGGUAACGGCUCACCUAGGCGACGAUCCCUAGCUGGUCUGAGAGGAUGACCAGCCACACUGGAACUGAGACACGUUCCAGACUCCUACGGGAGGCAGCAGUGGGGAAUAUUGCACAAUGGGCGCAAGCCUGAUGCAGCCAUGCCGCGUGUAUGAAGAAGGCCUUCGGGUUGUAAAGUACUUUCAGCGGGGAGGAAGGGAGUAAAGUUAAUACCUUUGCUCAUUGACGUUACCCGCAGAAGAAGCACCGGCUAACUCCGUG